GAUGAACGCUGGCGGCGUGCCUAAUACAUGCAAGUCGAGCGAACAGACGAUGAGCUUGCUCCUCUGACGUUAGCGGCGGACGGGUGAGUAACACGUGGAUAACCUUCUUCUAAUACUUGGGUGACUUCGGGAAACCGGAUCUGAUACCAGAUCAUAUAUUGAACCGCAUAGUUCAAUAGUGAAAGACGGUUUUGCUGUUACUUAUAGAUGAAUCCGCGUCGCAUUAGCUAGUUGGUAAGGUAACGGCUUACCAAGGCGACGAUGCGUAGCUGACCUGAGAGGAUGAUCGGCCACACUGGAACUGAGACACGGUCCAGACUCCUACGGGAGGCAGCAGUAGGGAAUAUUGGGCAAUGGGCGAAAGCCUGACGCAGCAACGCCGCGUGAGUGAUGAAGGUCUUCGGAUUGUAAAACUCUGUUAUUAGGGAAGAAAAAAUGUAUAAGUAACUACGCACGUCUUGACGGUACCUAAACAGAAAGCAACGGCUAACUACGUG
rnacentral:rRNA from 1 species